UACGGAGGGUGCAAGCGUUAUCCGGAUUCACUGGGUUUAAAGGGAGCGUAGGUGGGCUUGUAAGUCAGUGGUGAAAUCUCUGGGCUUAACCCGGAAACUGCCAUUGAUACUAUAGGUCUUGAAUUCUCUGGAGGUAAGCGGAAUAUGUCAUGUAGCGGUGAAAUGCUUAGAUAUGACAUAGAACACCCAUUGCGAAGGCAGCUUACUACGGAGACAUUGACACUGAGGCUCGAAAGCGUGGGGAUCAAACAGG
rnacentral:rRNA from 2 species